rnacentral:sRNA from 1 species
GCUGGUAACGAGCCCUGAAUACUGGACAAUACAACAGAGUUGGAGAAACAGAUGUGUGUAGCAUGAUGAAGUAGACACCGGUCAAGAGAGUAACACCACCGGAAACUGACCAUAGAAUUCCAAAAACUCUGUGUUCAAAAUAACUAGUGGCGGACUUUCACGAAAUCUGAUCUCCACACGUCGAAGAGCGAAUACCUGCAGUGACGAGCGUCGGUUUCCCUUCAACUCAUUCUUGUCAUUUUCAUCUUGAAGUGGUUCAGGU